rnacentral:rRNA from 1 species
ACUCAAAGGAAUUGACGGGGGCCCGCACAAGCAGCGGAGCGUGUGGUUUAAUUCGAGGCUACACGAAGAACCUUACCUGGGUUUGACAUAGCAGUGGUAGUGAAGCGAAAGCGGAACGACCUUCGGGAGCUGUUACAGGUGCUGCAUGGCUGUCGUCAGCUCGUGUCGUGAGAUGUUCGGUUAAGUCCGGUAACGAGCGCAACCCUCAGGUCUAGUUACAAGUGUCUAGACCGACUGCCCGGAGGAACUGGGAGGAAGGUGGGGAUGACGUCAAGUCAGCAUGGCCUUUAUAUCCAGGGCUACACACACGCUACAAUGGUCGGUCCAAUGGGAAGCCAAGCCGCAAGGCGGAGCCAAUCCUGAAAAGCCGAUCUCAGUUCGGAUUGUCGGCUGCAACUCGCCGGCAUGAAGUUGGAGUUGCUAGUAAACGCAGGUCAGCCAUACUGCGUUGAAUACGUUCCCGGGCCUUGUACACACCGCCCGU